GGAUUAGGCAUGCAGUCGAGCGCGAACUGUAGCAAUACAGGGAGAGCGGCGAAAGGGAGAGUAAUACGCUGGUACCUACCCCCGGGCCUGGGAUAGCGGCGGGAAACUGCCGGUAAUACCAGAUGAUGUCUCCGGACCAAAGGUGUGAUUCCACCUGGGGAGGGGCCUACGGCCUAUUAGCUUGUUGGUGGGGUAACGGCUUACCAAGGCAAAGAUGGGUAUGGGGCGUGAGAGCGUGUUCCCACUCACUGGGACUGAGAACUGCCCAGACACCUACGGGUGGCUGCAGUCGAGAAUCUUCGGCAAUGGGCGAAAGCCUGACCGAGCGACACCGCGUGCGGGAUGAAGGCCUUCGGGUUGUAAACCGCUGUCGUAGGGGAGGAAGGGCCUGCGAAGAGCAGGACUUGACCGAUCCUAGGAGGAAGGGCCGGCUAAUCUCGUGCCAGCAGCCGCGGUAAUACGAGAGGCCCAAACGUUAUUCGGAUUUACUGGGCUUAAAGAGUUCGUAGGCGGCUUGGAAAGUGGGGUGUGAAA
rnacentral:rRNA from 1 species